CAGCCGCCGCGGUAAUACAGAGGGUGCGAGCGUUAAUCGGAUUUACUGGGCGUAAAGCGUGCGUAGGCGGCUUUUUAAGUCGGAUGUGAAAUCCCUGAGCUUAACUUAGGAAUUGCAUUCGAUACUGGGAAGCUAGAGUAUGGGAGAGGAUGGUAGAAUUCCAGGUGUAGCGGUGAAAUGCGUAGAGAUCUGGAGGAAUACCGAUGGCGAAGGCAGCCAUCUGGCCUAAUACUGACGCUGAGGUACGAAAGCAUGGGGAGCAAACAGGAUUAGAUACCCCCGUAGUCCCUGUCUCUUACAC
rnacentral:rRNA from 1 species